rnacentral:lncRNA from 1 species
GUUCUUCCGCCAGCGCCCAUCGUGAAGACCACAGUUUCCUGUCGCGUGGAUGUGUUUCCUCUCUGGCCAUUGCCAUCCGCCCAAAUCUACAGACAUCCCGCAUGUUCCCGGGCUCGUCUCCCCAAUACAGGGCACCAAGCAUCCUACCAAGGCGAAUCCAUUGACCAGGAUUUAAGUUGAGACUCCCCCAGGACCCCGGGUGCAGCAUCUGGGUCCCCCUGCCCCGCCCUGCCUUGCGCCGCAGCCGCUUCCGUUGUCCUGCCAGGCUGUAGACUGCGCAGCCCUCCUGGAGACAGAUGGAAGCUCCUUGGGUCGACAGAUUACAGCUUCUGGAACCCCCUACUCCCUUCAACUCCGAGAUGGACACCCACUGUCCAGGGAGAGGAUGCCUGGAAAUAACAGCUGGGAUCUACAGUGGCCAAAGAGUUGUCUCCGUCUUGCUACAUCGACAAACUGGUGCUCCUGACCACUUCGGAAGCGUUUUCCUCUCCACUCUGACAACAGGCAAGAGUGAGGGUCCAACAAUACAGAGGAAGUAACGUGUCGCUGCUACUCUUCCAUGCCCAGUGCCAGGAGCGACGGUACACUCCAGAGUGCUGUGCCCUGAUGGGCCUUUGAGUGGCCAGUGCAGUGGAUCAUCAGCCCUGUCUCCCAAGAGCUCCAGUCCCUUCUCCGGAGAGGAAGUGGGUCCACUGGCAGCUCAGGAGGCCAUAGCAGGAUUGUCACGUGUGCUCAACAGUCCUCCUCGGCUUUCCAGAAGAGGCUGGAACAGGGCCCUUGAAGAUGUUUGUGGACAUCAGAGGGCCAAAGACGACACAAAGUGAAACUGGAGACACCGCCCCCCCUUGGCAUCAUGAAACUGCCGAUGUUACUGGCUCAUGCAUGGGAGACACCAGCAUACAAAGUCUUGACACCAACACCUCAGAGGGCUGUGUUCUGUCCCCGUGACCAUCAUCUAGUGCCUGGAAAGACUAGUGACAAGAACUUGUUGCCAACUUCCUAUUACCUCCCUAACAGUUGUGCAAUAAACCCCAUAGGUUAAUUCA